GAUGAACGCUAGCGGCAGGCUUAAUACAUGCAAGUCGAGGGGCAACAGGGGUAGCAAUACCUGCUGGCGACCGGCAAACGGGUGCGGAACACGUACAGAACCUUCCUUUGAGUGGGGGAUAGCCCGGAGAAAUCCGGAUUAAUACCCCAUAGUAUUGUUGGGUGGCAUCACCCGGUAAUUAAAGAUUUAUCACUUAGAGAUGGCUGUGCGGCUGAUUAGGUAGUUGGUGUGGGUAACGGCCCACCGAGCCUUCGAUCAGUAACUGGUGUGAGAGCACGACCAGUCACACGGGCACUGAGACACGGGCCCGACUCCUACGGGAGGCAGCAGUAAGGAAUAUUGGUCAAUGGACGCAAGUCUGAACCAGCCAUGCCGCGUGAAGGAUGAAGGCCCUCUGGGUUGUAAACUUCUUUUAUCUGGGAAGAAAUGCAUCUUUUCUAAGGUGUUUGACGGUACCAGAGGAAUAAGCACCGGCUAACUCCGUGCCAGCAGCCGCGGUAAUACGGAGGGUGCAAGCGUUAUCCGGAUUCACUGGGUUUAAAGGGUGCGUAGGUGGGAAUGUAAGUCAGUGGUGAAAUCUCCGUGCUUAACACGGAAACUGCCAUUGAUACUAUGUUUCUUGAAUUUUCUGGAGGUCAGCGGAAUAUGUCAUGUAGCGGUGAAAUGCUUAGAUAUGACAUAGAACACCAAUUGCGAAGGCAGCUUACUACAGGAACAUUGACACUGAGGCACGAAAGCGUGGGGAUCAAACAGGAUUAGAUACCCUGGUAGUCCACGCCCUAAACUAUGGAUACUCGACAUUUGUGAUACACAAUAAGUGUCUGAGCGAAAGCAUUAAGUAUCCCACCUGGGAAGUACGAUCGCAAGAUUGAAACUCAAAGGAAUU
rnacentral:rRNA from 1 species